GGAGAGGUACCGAAGUGGUCAUAACGGCGCCGAUUCGAAAUCGGAUGGGGCUUACGCCCACGCGGGUUCGAAUCCCGCUCUCUCCGCCA
rnacentral:tRNA from 1 species